rnacentral:lncRNA from 1 species
GGCGACCACCACCGAGGAUGGGAAAGGAUGACAUUGGAAGGGAAUUUGCAGCCCUCCUGAUCUCCAGAUGAAGAGCUUAUGGAUAUGAAAAGGCUUUCCCAAAGAAGCCAUGGAGUAGAAUCCAGGUCUCCCAGUUCGUGAUCAGUCUUCCAUCUCCCUGGUGGGCCAGAGAUAUUUCAAGUUGGCAGAGUCAAGCAUGAGCAAGGAGAUGGUGUGGGGCAGAGUGUGAACCAUAUAUUCCUAGACCCCAGUGAUGAAGGCUAAAUGAGACAAUAUACGUCAUGCAUCUUGCACUUCCUGCCACACAGAGCUUCCAUGGAUACUGAAAGAUCAGCUGACACGUGCCUUCAAGGCUAAAAUGAAUGUGGAUAUCAAUAGUGAUGAGAAGAAAUGGUCUAAAAUAAAGAAACAGCAUGUGCAAAAGUGAAGAUUAUGAUGCUAUGUCAGUUACCUUCAGGACCCAAUUGUAGCCACUUCAGCUGGCCCAGGCUUUCCCGAAAUGUGAAGACAGCAAACUCCCACUCUUCCUCCUGCAGACUGGUGGCAAAAACACAAAGUCCACUUGAGACCAUGAAGUCCAAGGAUCUUUUCUUAUUCCUGGAAUAUACUAGGAAAAAUACAGGUAGAAACAUCACAAAGAAAUGUCACAAUAAAUUAAAUUGCUUCAA